rnacentral:rRNA from 1 species
AUUGAACGCUGGCGGCAGGCCUAACACAUGCAAGUCGAGCGAGCGGCGGACGGGUGAGUCAUGUCUGGGAAACUGCCAGAUGGAGGGGGAUAACCACUGGAAACGGUAGCUAAUACCGUAUACUCACAGUUGUGCCCAGAUGGGAUUAGCUAGUAGGUGGGGCAAUGGCUCACCUAGGCGACGCUCCCUAGCUGGUCUGAGAGGAUGACCAGCCACACUGGAACUGAGACACGGUCCAGACUCCUACGGUAGGCAGCAGUGGGGAAUAUUGCACAAUGGGCGCAAGCCUGAUGCAGCCAUGCCGCGUGUGUGAAGAAGGCCUUCGGGUUGUAAAGCACUUUCAGCGAGGAGGCGUUACUCGCAGAAGAAGCACCGGCUAACUCCGUGCCAGCAGCCGCGGUAAUUC